rnacentral:tRNA from 1 species
GCAGUGGUGGUUCAGUGAUGGAAUUCUCGCCUUCCAUCCGGGAGACCCCGGUUCAAUUCCUGGCCAGUGCA